UAACAAACCAGGGCUGACCCAGCGGCAGGUGGAAAGGUGUGUCUCUACCAAUGCAGCAAUAUGGUUUUAGGGCCAAAAGGUGGAGUCUGUAGUCAAACGGACUCAAGUCAACAUUAUGAUCCAAAUUACUAACUGUGACCUUGCAGCACAUGAGAAUGUCCACCUCUUGGGACUUUUAAGAGGAAGUAAGACAAUGCAUGUGAAACCCCUAGCUCAAAACUUGGCACUGCGCAUCGAGCACUGGUGAUGACUCAUCUCUCUGCCGCAAUGACUGUGGGGAACUUGGUGAAUGGGGCUUAGACUGUUAUGACAGCGGGUGAACAAAUAACAGGCAAGCAAUUGCCAUAUGCUAGGUGCCCUCUGUUACAGGCACUUGAUUGCCCAAGUCAUACUGUUCCAGUGAAUCAUGGUAAAAAUGUGAACUGUUAUGCUCAUAAAUAAAGCAGAAGGGUUGGUCAGCAUAUCAAGAAACAGCGCAUGGCGUGAAGGAUGUGAAAGGAGAAGGUCAUUUGGACAUCCACUCUUUGGUCUGCUUUGGUUUUCAAUACGUAUUGAGGCGCAGAGAAAUAAAGAGUCACGAGAGGAGGCUCUCAGUAGAAAAUUUGACAGCAGCCCAAAGGCCAUCUCUCAGGUAUUGAGGACGUAGCCCAGGACGUCACACAGCUGGACAAGUGCUCUGUCACGGAGCUAUACCACCGGACCUUGAGUGAUAUCAUGAACGAACAAGAUCUCUCUCUUAAAGAUAACUCUUUGAGGAUUUAUAGAGACAGUGGCCAAAAUGAAGUCAGUCCCACUUAGGAUUGUCAUUUAACAUGCCAUGACAAGACAGAGGACAAAGAUUGUCUUGAGAUGAAUCCCUGGGUGCCAAGGACUGGUGAGAACCAAUGUAUCCUGGUCAUUUUGAGAAAGAAGUCUGUCCUCCUGUGAUCCCAGGCACAGGAUGAUUUUAAUUGCUGAACCACCUUUUCGGCCCCUCAUUUUUCUUCCUUAUGUCUUCUUGAGCUUUCUCCUGGCCUGACUGCCUCCUUAGCUAUGUUCCCCAGCUAAGGCUGGGGAAAUGUCUUCUGAGAGAUCCAGUCAAACGUCUUUGAUUUUAGGCCACAGCUGAAUGCUGAGCACCGAGUGGUGGCCUUGUCUCUUGACUUCCUCCUCUUCCUGGCGCAGAAUAAAGAUAAAAACA